rnacentral:rRNA from 1 species
GUUUGAUCCUGGCUCAGGAUGAACGCUGGCGGCGUGCUUAACACAUGCAAGUCGAACGAUGAUGCCAGCUUGCUGGUGGAUUAGUGGCGAACGGGUGAGUAACACGUGAGUAACCUGCCCUUAACUCUGGGAUAAGCCUGGGAAACUGGGUCUAAUACCGGAUAUGACUCCUCAUCGCAUGGUGGGGGGUGGAAAGCUUUUUGUGGUUUUGGAUGGACUCGCGGCCUAUCAGCUUGUUGGUGAGGUAAUGGCUUACCAAGGCGACGACGGGUAGCCGGCCUGAGAGGGUGACCGGCCACACUGGGACUGAGACACGGCCCAGACUCCUACGGGAGGCAGCAGUGGGGAAUAUUGCACAAUGGGCGCAAGCCUGAUGCAGCGACGCCGCGUGAGGGAUGACGGCCUUCGGGUUGUAAACCUCUUUCAGUAGGGAAGAAGCGAAAGUGACGGUACCUGCAGAAGAAGCGCCGGCUAACUACGUGCCAGCAGCCGCGGUAAUACGUAGGGCGCAAGCGUUAUCCGGAAUUAUUGGGCGUAAAGAGCUCGUAGGCGGUUUGUCGCGUCUGCCGUGAAAGUCCGGGGCUCAACUCCGGAUCUGCGGUGGGUACGGGCAGACUAGAGUGAUGUAGGGGAGACUGGAAUUCCUGGUGUAGCGGUGAAAUGCGCAGAUAUCAGGAGGAACACCGAUGGCGAAGGCAGGUCUCUGGGCAUUAACUGACGCUGANGAGCGAAAGCAUGGGGAGCGAACAGGAUUAGAUACCCUGGUAGUCCAUGCCGUAAACGUUG